UGCUAUGAUGCUGUAAUUUGCGUCUUACCCUGUGUCUAGCAACAGGUGCCUCUGUCAAUAUGCUUGCACAGAAGGUUGACGAUAAGCUUGAAACUGAGCA